rnacentral:tRNA from 1 species
AGCGGGGUAGAGAAGUUGGCAUCUCGCUAGGCUCAUUACCUAGAGGUCGCAGGUUCGAGUCCUGCCCCCGUAA